GUUAGGAAUAUUGGACAAUGGGCGAAAGCCUGAUCCAGCCAUGCCGCGUGAACGAUGAAGGCCUUCGGGUUGUAAAGUUCUUUAGCCGAUGAUUAUAAUGACUGUAGUCGGAAAAUAAGCCCCGGCUAACUUCGUGCCAGCAGCCGCGGUAAUACGAAGGGGGCGAGCGUUACUCGGAAUCACUGGGCGUAAAGCGUGCGUAGGCGGUUUUGUAAGUUAGGAGUGAAAGCCCAGGGCUCAACCUUGGAAUGGCUCUCAAAACUGCAAGGCUCUAAUCUCGGAUAGGAUAGCGGAAUUUCCAGUGUAGCAGUGAAAUGCGUAGAUAUUGGAAGGAACACCAGUGGCGUAAGCGGCUAUCUGGACCGAUAUUGACGCUGAGGCACGAAAGCGUGGGGAUCAAACAGGAUUAGAUACCCGGGUAGUCC
rnacentral:rRNA from 1 species